GACGAACGCUGGCGGCGUGCUUAACACAUGCAGGUCGAACGGAAAGGCUCCAGCUUGCUGGAGUACUCGAGUGGCGAACGGGUGAGUAACACGUGGGUAAUCUGCCCUGCACUCUGGGAUAAGCCUGGGAAACUGGGUCUAAUACUGGAUAUGACCUUUCUCCUUAUGGGGUUUGGUGGAAAGUUUUUCGGUGUAGGAUGAGCCCGCGGCCUAUCAGCUUGUUGGUGGGGUGAUGGCCUACCAAGGUGACGACGGGUAGCCGGCCUGAGAGGGUGAUCGGCCACAUUGGGACUGAGAUACGGCCCAGACUCCUACGGGAGGCAGCAGUGGGGAAUAUUGCACAAUGGGCGGAAGCCUGAUGCAGCGACGCCGCGUGAGGGAUGACGGCCUUCGGGUUGUAAACCUCUUUCAGCAGGGACGAAGCGUAAGUGACGGUACCUGCAGAAGAAGCACCGGCUAACUAUGUG
rnacentral:rRNA from 1 species